GCAUUAACAACAACAGCUGUUCGGGAACGACGAACCUCGCCGACCAGCCGUCACAGGCGCGCGGCGCUCCGUGCAUUUCUGCUCUCGGCCACACGCGGAGAAGUUAACGCAAGUUUGUCGCUGCGGGAUACAUCUGGCGGAGAUUCUCUGGUCUCUCGGGUGUGUCUCCUAGACAUCGAAGAGUCAUUGUACAGGCGCAGCGAUCCGAUUCCAAAAGAAGGCGCGACCUGUCCUUUGCGGUCUCCAGCCAUGGCUCACCGAACUUCAACGGUGACUGUUCCGUGGAACGGCCCGUUAACGGAUAUGUCCCACCAUCCCACGCAGCGGGCAGGAAUCUACUCGUCCAACAAGUAUAUCUCCUUCUGGCUGCUCGGAUCCUUGAGCAUCGCGCUGCUCCUGCUCAUUAUGUUGCUCGGCCUCUGCUCCAAGCGCGUCGCGCACCGCGGAAGGCGCGCAUCCCGAGAGCAGGCUCACGUUCUUCCAGGUGGCAACGCUUGCUGCGAGAGCGGGCCGCUACCCGCGGCCUCCAGUGGGUGACCUACACUCGCGCGAGAUCUUGCUCUGCGCAGCCUGCCGAAGUGCCCAGGACGAAAUGUUCCGGUUGGCCAAGGCCGCUCCUGUCCCCGGCUCGGCCGCCCGCUGGAGUCCCCCUCCCCCCUACACUCCGCGACCUGUGCUACCUUCCAAUACUCCUCCUGGAACUCCCUCGCACCUGUGACGAAAGGAGAUUGUGAGCAAGUUCUUUGCUGGCACAGUGACGACAGUCGAGACAGUCAUCGUGGCUCUGGUCACAGAUGAAAGUGGCAAACGCUGUCUACUCGUGGUGUGAAUAUCGUUGCUACACACAAGACAGCGUGGUGUUCUAUAGAUGUCUUCCUUCCAUCUCUGCUACCUGUCUUAUCCCUCCGGCAAGAGAGCCUGCGAGAAAAUGCCAAAGUAAAUGCUCGUCUGCGGCAAGUGCUAAUGUACAUUUUUAAGUCGCUCUCACAGUACGCCGCACCAACAAGUUGCUGAACCUUUUUGCGCUGAAAAUGCAAGCACACAAGUAAUCGGAAAGUGCACUGUGCAAUAUCACUACAGUCGAAGCGAGAAUAUGGGCCAAAUAUUACCGGUCAGAUACACUCAACCGGCAAUCAACAAUGUUGCAUUUAUUUAGAUACUAGCAGCAUGGUAACGUAUGAUUUCUCAAUGAACCAUUGUAAUCAGGUACAUCUGUUAGCUUUUCUCUUACCGAGCGAUGGUCCUCACCGAUAAAUAAAAGGGGAGAAAAGAGCACGCGCCGUCACGUGAUGAUUGCGCCAGAGAGCAGCUGUUCAUGAUAAGGCAUUGGAAUGGCUUAUAUUUGCGAAAUUUUUUGUUAGAAAUAUGGCGCUGGCAUAAGUCACACUUCCAUCGACACGACUUUUACUAAUAUCAUUUUGGGACAAAAACAUUCGUGAAGUUCCUCUUCAAACCACUCGCUGACACAGGAGGAAGGACACGCAGAGAGAGAGAGAGAGAGAGAAAACAACUUUUAUUGUAAACGGCAAGUGUAAGAGGAGUUUAUCUCCCCUCCCUUAGAUGGUGGCCAGGAGCCCUUGGGUCCUAGCAGAGAUAACUUUUUCUGUGUGCAUUUUCAUGCGGAACUACUGGGGGAGAGAGAGAAAAAAGGUAAAGGAAAGACAGGGAGUUUAACCAGAGGUUAUCUCCGGUUGGCUACCCUGUACUGGGGGAAGGGUAAAGAGAUGCGAAAGGAGAGAGAGAGAAAAAACAAGUAAAAGUAAAAGAAGGAAAGAAAGAAAAGAAAAUCACACACACACGCACACACAAAACAGAACCGUUUCUGUGGGCACUGUCACGCAGUCUGCGAAGGUGUUCUCUUGUUGCAUAGUGUCAAGGCUCGCUGUGCGUAGGAGGAAGGAGCUGACAAGAUGGCUUACCGCAUAAGGAAUGUUUCCUGUCCAUUCUUUGAGCAGUGAAGUAGAGCACAGUGAUGAUGACCUAUCGCCAUUGUGCCACUCGAUCGCUCGAAACUUUUUGUACAGCUUCCUUAAAGAAACAGAGUUAGAACACUGCACACGUGCCAAUAAAGAAAAACAGAAGUAAACCAUGCGCUCUGCUCUGCAAAAGUUGAUACAUGCACAUCGCCUAAAAACUGAACGUUUCACGUGCUUUAUACAUAACUGAGGUCACAGUUAUGCUGAUUCUCAGCCUAUGGUCGCAGAGAAUAAAAAAAAACUAUGCAAACUUUUAUCUUUCAUUCCUUUUCCUGUCAUUAUUUGCAACGUUUAAGGUACAAGCUUUCACUCUGAUAGGAUGCCUUUACUGCAAAGAGAUCCUACCAUGACUGCAAGAAGUCAUCAUAAAAUCCAUAGAAAUUUGCAUUAGCAAGCAUUGGAUCUCGUAACUUAGGGUGAAUACUAUAUUCCAUUCAGCAUACAGCUGUCGACAUAUGUGUUUUCUUCACAUAUGGAUUAGUUAAAAAACUGAUGAACGUUGUUCUGAUACUGACUUACGGUCAAUUCCGUUGCGACUCCUUACCCAUCCGAACGUGAAGGAUCGCGCAUACGUACGGACUGUGGGCCCAUAUUAAAACAAAAAGUGAUCAUACAAGAACUGUUCGUAAGAGGAGCUGUCAGUCAAUCGGGGUAUUGACAUAGGCGGCCUGCCAGUAUAAAACUGCUCUUACAAAUGAGAAUAUUUGUCAAUUCGCCCCUUGAGAUUUAUAUUUAUCUUGACAAGUAUGCUAGGAUCUGAUUCCAUCCAGAGACCGGUUUAAACGCCUCAGAAAAUGCGCACUGUAGAACCGCGCGAUAAAAAUUAGCGCUCUUCACAAAGUUUUGUAUGUCUAUAUCCUCAAGGAUAUGCUGACCUAUCGACGUCGACAUCAUGCUGUUUGUGGCUUCAGGUCUAAAUAGGCAUUUUUCUAAAGGCCAUGACAGCUUUUUCGUCAUCCAAGUACCAAUUAAUUUUAUUGUUAAAUCAGUUCUGCCUAAGACUGCCUAAAAUGCGGAAACAAUAACGACGCAUCUCGUUUUUCCCGGCACAAAAACAAAUUGUACAUUAUAGUAGACGCAUCUUGUUUUUCACGGCACCACAAUAAAGUGUACAUUAUAGUAAUCCAAAAUUGGUUUGUUUGCUUUUUGAUUCAAGGACUUCAUUCAGAUAUACCUAACAAUACCCAUGCUUUCCUAUGAAAGGGAAAAUUCUCAGUACUGGGAUCGUAAUGCGUCGAGCAUGAUAACUCGGGUUAUAUGGAAUCACCAACGCGUGAAGCACUAACGACAAUGUUAAAAUUGCCAACAUGGCUGUCUUUUGCGCAAUUAGUAAGGCAUGCACCGUCUACAAUCCAAGCAUGUCUCUGGCUGCACUUGCGGAAAGCAAAAGGUGUGAUCGGAGAGCAGUACAGUAAAACUCGGACAGCAACGAUAAGCCAAAGGCGUCGGCGUUUUCGUUGAAAGGUAACGGCACGCACAGGCACGCGCGCGCGAACUGGAACCAUGAUAGGAACCCGCGCGCGCUACAGCGCAAAAUACGAGAUCGCAUUAUUUGCAGUUUUAUCUGCAGAUCAUCCUUCCCGGCCGUUCGAGUACAUGUGCAGUCUUGUCGGAGAGAACUGGGCAGGACUGGCAGGCUGGUUCUUGGUGU